CCAGGUUAAACCAGGGAUGGCGUUGCCCCGCCGCGCACUGAUGUUGCCCACCGGCUGUGGGAAUGCGGAAAUCCCUCUGCUUACUGCAAAGGGAGAGAGAGAGAGAUCACACAGCGUCACAGGGUGUCUAGUCGACUAGUCCUAUUACACCAUUUGUCCUCAGAAGGAGAAAGGAAUGAGG
rnacentral:lncRNA from 1 species